rnacentral:rRNA from 1 species
GGAUAACUUACCCUUUAGGACUGGGAUAACUCUGGGAAACUGGGGAUAAUACUGGAUAUUAGGCUAUGCCUGGAAUGGUUUGCCUUUGAAAUGUUUUUUCGCCUAAGGAUAGGUCUGCGGCUGAUUAGGUCGUUGGUGGGGUAAUGGCCCACCAAGCCGAUGAUCGGUACGGGUUGUGAGAGCAAGGGCCCGGAGAUGGAACCUGAGACAAGGUUCCAGACCCUACGGGGUGCAGCAGGCGCGAAACCUCCGCAAUGUACGAAAGUGCGACGGGGGGAUCCCAAGUGUUAUGCUUUUUUGUAUGACUUUUCAUUAGUGUAAAAAGCUUUUAGAAUAAGAGCUGGGCAAGACCGGUGCCAGCCGCCGCGGUAACACCGGCAGCUCGAGUGGUAGCUGUUUUUAUUGGGCCUAAAGCGUUCGUAGCCGGUUUGAUAAGUCUUUGGUGAAAGCUUGUAGCUUAACUAUAAGAAUUGCUGGAGAUACUAUUAGACUUGAAGUCGGGAGAGGUUAGAGGUACUACCGGGGUAGGGGUGAAAUCCUAUAAUCCUGGGAGGACCACCUGUGGCGAAGGCGUCUAACUGGAACGAUCUUGGCGGUGAGUAACGAAAGCCAGGGGCGCGAACCGGAUUAGAUACCCGGGUAGUCCUGGCCGUAAACGAUGUGGACUUGGUGUUGGAAUGGCUUUGAGUUGUUCCGGUGCCGAAGGGAAGCUGUUAAGUCCACCGCCUGGGAAGUACGGUCGCAAGACUGAAACUUAA